rnacentral:lncRNA from 1 species
AAAAAUGAAAAUACACAAAAAGUCAAAUAGAAAUCAGAAAAUACAGAAGAAUGAAUUUUCUAAUAUUUCAUGUGUGUAUUUCUAGAAUGUCUCACUGUUGUGAACUGUAAUUUCUUAAAACAUGUAUUUAUGAAUUUUGCAUGUACUAUUUUAUUUUUAUAAAAUACCAAAUGUAUUUUAAUUUUAAAUGUUAUUAUAGUGUUGGAAGAGCAGCAUAAUGAUGUUGUAAAAUAUUUCUCGUUUAAAUUAUAUCUUUAACAUGUUUAACACAUGAACAGAAAACCAGUCCAAGAAAAAAAAUAAAAAAAUAAAAAUUAAAAAUUCACUUCCCUGGGGGUCAUGAUAGGGUUAACAGAAUAAAUAAUUAGGACAAAAUAUGCAGAGUAGAGAAAGACAGGUCAAAACUAGAUGUGUUGAUACACCAUGAAUGACCAAGCUGGAAAAUUUUGAAAGUCCAAAUAGAUAUAGGAACACUACUCAGUGGUAUGAGUGCCAAUGAGACAUCUCUCCAUCCAAGUAACAAUUUAUUAAAGUAAACCAUUGUAGAUCAAGGUAAGUUCUUCAACACCUAGCCUUAGCUCACAUCAAACCACAAACUGUAAAUUAAAGAACCCCAAAAAUUACUAGUGUAAAACCAUUCAAACGGGAAAACCAACCGUCUAAUCUAUAUAUAAGCCUGUAACUUCAGCAAAAACAGCAAAUCUCAUCAAAACCUAAACUGGAUUAGAACAUUUAUAAUCAGAAAAUUUCUUGAUUUACCUUAAUUGCUAAUAAGAAACCAGUAUUACCGAUUAUCAAAAUCAAGACACAAAAAUUGAAAAUGGUAUGUUAUCUGUAAUCAGAAACUACUUUAUUUAUUUUGAUAUAUAUAUAUAAAUGUUCUUAUUAAGCAGUGUGCUGUUUGAAUAAAUGUAUGAUAGUCUUGUUUUAGUAUUAUUAUUUUUUUAUCACCACCAAAAACAGAGAUAUCAAAAGAUUAAUUAAACUAGUGAGUCAAAAACAAACUGUUAAUGCCAUGGAAUUACACAUUCAAAAGAAAGAAAAACAGGCCUUUUAUAGCUGACUAUGCGGUAUGGGCUUUGCUCAUUGUUGAAGGCCGUACGGUGACCUAUAGUUGUUAAUGUCUGUGUCAUUUUGGUCUUUUGUGGAUAGUUGUCUCAUUGGCAAUCAUACCACAUCUUCUUUUUUGUAUUA